AUAAAUCAAUAACAUCUGAGAGAAAUUUUGAGGUCGUGAAAAGUUACUUAAAUUAUUUAGUUUGCAAAACAUAAGAAAGGUUACAACAUUCAGUCACUCUUAGUGGUAAACAUUAAGCAAUCGAUUGUUGAAAUAACCAAUUUGAUACUUGCUUAUUUAUUUCAGAAAAUAAACCAAGCAAAGAAGACGUUCAGGAUCAGACUUCUGUUAAAACCAACCUUCCGGUUUCUGUCAAUUUGCGUAAACAGUUGAAUAUAAAACAGUCAACGAAUGAAAAUCUGGUCAUUACUAGCUGUAUCAAAACAGGCAAUACAUUAGUGUUUACUGACUGUAACAAUAGAGACUUAUUAUUUGUAAUUCAGACGGUACUGAUAUCGAUCACAUUCCUCUGUCCUAUAAACCAGGUAUAUAACAGAGAUAGAUAGUAACACUGUAGCAGUAUCCUGUUUAUAUGACAGUACCAUACUGAUAAUAAAUAUAUCUACACGUUCUAUCACCAGUACAAUCAACACCAGUGGUGACUGCGACGGAAUAUCAUAUAAUGAUAAUAACCUGUACGUUGUUAUUUGGGAGUAUAAUACAUGUGAUGGACCUGACAGGUAAAGUAAUACGUACUAUACCGGUACCUACAGACCGUAUAUCCGACGACAUUACAGUAGACAGAGACAGGUUGGUCUGUAUAGACCAGAACAUCAAUAUACUGCUGCUCGUUAGAUGGAAAGUUAAUGUGGGAGUUUAAAAUAAUGAUGAAUUUCAAGAUUUAAUUGUGUAACAACAGAUAAUGAGGGGAAUGUCUAUGUGACUAAUGAGAGUACACACACUGUAAUAGUUGUAUCUGAUGAUGGUAAACAUCAUAGAGAACUUCUUACUGAAUCUGAUGGAUUGGAUAACCCGUGUGGAAUUUAUUAUAGACAAAAAAGAAAAUAUUCUGCUUGUUUGUAAUAAAGUAACGGAAAAGCUUUUCUUUUUGACGUGAAAAAGAACAAAAAUAAGCAUGAAUAAUUCUUUCAGACAAUGAGUUUAUUCGGACUCGGAUCUGUUUAUGCAUUUAGUCAUUCAAAAUAUCUUCUAUUUAUUAGUGUUUUC
rnacentral:lncRNA from 1 species